AUUGUCCUGACUGCUUUUGGUGUUCCAACGGGAUUCACCCGACGGAAUGAAACGGGAAGCCGGCGCAUCAUAGAUCCAUAUGUCUUUGAUUAUUCCGGCACUGCCCCCGCAACGGUGAUUGAGUAAACGGUAGACUCACUGCCACUGCACGCAUGGUGUGGGAAGGCGUCUACCACGGAGCCCGCCUCCAGCUCAUCAGUCCGGAGACCGGCCAAGGCACUCGUACUCGU
rnacentral:ncRNA from 2 species